rnacentral:rRNA from 1 species
AACGAACGCUGGCGGCAUGCCUAACACAUGCAAGUCGAACGAGACCUUCGGGUCUAGUGGCGCACGGGUGCGUAACGCGUGGGAACCUGCCCUUAGGUUCGGAAUAACUCCCCGAAAGGGGUGCUAAUACCGGAUAAUGUCUUCGGACCAAAGAUUUAUCGCCUUUGGAUGGGCCCGCGUGGGAUUAGCUAGUGGGUAGGGUAAAAGACUACUAAGGCGACGAUCCAUAGCUGGUCUGAGAGGAUGAUCAGCCACACUGGGACUGGGACACGGCCCGGACUCCUACGGGAGGCAGCAGUGGGGAAUAUUGCACAGUGGGCGAAAGCCUGAUCCAGCUAUGCCGCGUGAGUUAUGAAGGCCUUAGGGUUGUAAAGCUCUUUUACCCGUGAUGAUAAUGACAGUACCGGGAGAAUAAGCUCCGGCUAACUCCGUG